rnacentral:tRNA from 1 species
GGCACGGUUGCUAAGUGGAAAAGCGUUGGUCUGCAAAACCGAUAUUGCGACAGUUCGAUUCUGUCCCGUGCCUCCA